rnacentral:rRNA from 1 species
UAACCGUGGUGGCGAGUGGCGAACGGGUGAGUAAUGCAUCGGAACGUGCCAUUGAGUGGGGGGUAACGUAGCGAAUUACGCUAAUACCGCAUAUUCUGUGAGCAGGAAAGCAGGGGAUCGCAAGACCUUGCGCUCUUUGAGCGGCCGAUGUCAGAUUAGCUAGUUGGUGAGGUAACGGCUUACCAAGGCGACGAUCUGUAGCGGGUCUGAGAGGAUGAUCCGCCACACUGGAACUGAGACACGGUCCAGACUCCUACGGGAGGCAGCAGUGGGGAAUUUUGGACAAUGGGGGCAACCCUGAUCCAGCCAUGCCGCGUGAGUGAAGAAGGCCUUCGGGUUGUAAAGCUCUUUCGGCCGGGAAGAAAUCGCAUGGGUUAAUACCCUGUGUGGAUGACGGUACCGGCAUAAGAAGCACCGGCUAACUACGUG